CAAACUAAUUUGGAUCCCAAGCCAGAACUGGCCCACAUUUAUUAAGAUUCUACACUGAAACUAAAAAGACAUGUAUGUGUCUCUCACUUAAAAGAACCCUAAGAACUCUCAGGGUACAGAGACAAUGCUAUUUAAUUCCUCAUCUCUGUACCACUGUAGCGCCUAGCACUGUCCUGCAUAUAGGAGGCAUCAAUAAAUGUUUGCCCAACUGAGUAUCAUCUCUCUACAUAAGCCCAGGGCUAUAAAAAUCAAAAGAAAUGAUGGUUAUAAAAAAUGCUUUGAAACCAUUAUUAUGAAUUAUAUAAGUAUGCAUAUGAAAGUGAUAAUUAUAUUCUGCCCCCACUUUUCCAUCUCUGACAUUCUAGAAGUGAGAGCUUUCUCUAACUUCUCUUGGACCACCCAGAAACAUGAGACCUCAGGUACAAACCAAAUUGAGCAAAUCUGAGCCUGUGGGAAAGGGGUGUGCGUGUAAAGCUGAAGCAGGUGCCUGGACGACGGCAGGGACAGUGGGAGUGUGCUACUCUUAAGGGCCCAGCAACAAACACCUGGCACGGCUGCUGACCUGGAACUCCUGCAGCUCACUCCCCUAAGCACCGCAAGCUGCAGUCCUCCCAGCUGGGGCUUUCCAGAUCACUCACCCGUUCACCUCGGCUCAAAGCAUCUCCAGAUGAACAAAGUGCGUAGAAAAACUUGGAUUCACAUUGUGGGUUUGCCACUUGUCAGCUAUUGACCAUGUAACUUCUCUCAUGGUCCUGAUCUGUGCAAUGGGAAUAGCACCCAUCUCGAAGGGGUUCCAUGAGGAUUAUAUAAAGGCACACAUAAAGCUCUACCUCCAUGGCUAUGGUCAUGGGUUGGGCAGAUUGAGGGUCACAGCUCUGCAGGAGCCCCAUGGCAUCACAAGGAAGGCACAAACCCCUCCCACACAGCACUGACUCUGGCUCCACAGCGCCCCAGCCCCACCCCACCUUCCCAGCCCCCACUUCCCACAGGAACUCUCCUCCCUGGGGCCCCACUCCCAGCAGGCACCGGCCUCCAGGAAGGUUGCGGUUUCAGGGCCAGCCCUACCUUGGUUGAUCCUUGCCCCUAGACCCAGCAGAGGACGGUGCGCGUCCAUCCUAUGGGACACGGCCGUAACCCCUUCCCCAGCCCCCACUUUAGCACACCCUGCAGAGCAGAGGCCUGACCUGAGCUGGCUCUAAACAGCUCCCUGAGGCUGGAGGCCAGACAGCCACAAGCCAGGAGCAAGAUUCUAGAAUACAAAGCUAUUAUAAUAAGGAGUUUCUCUGCAAGGCCAAAAGCCUCAGACAUUAAUAGAGGCAGAAGAUGAGUUGCAGACCCUGAAGAACACGGGUCAGUCCACUCCUCCCCAAGCCCUGGCUUCCCCAGAUACAUAGAUACGCUCUAGCCUGGUUGUGGAGGACCAGGUUGGGGGUGAGAGGAUUAGAAGAGAACCUCUGUGCACUCUGCUGUCCUCCCUAGAAGAGGGGUGAAACGGAAGCAAAGCGGGCGAUUUCUCCAGCCCCAGUCAUGGACCUCGCCUCCUCCACCGGGCUGGUAUGACCUCUGCCUGUAAUCUUUCAGUCCUCCUGCCCAGCCAAGCUACCAAGGUGGGGUGUCCGCCAGAACCACUGGGGCCAGGCAAUAUGAUGACAGCAACAGUCCAGGCUGCAGGUAUGGAGGCCUACUUUGUACCAGGCAAAUCCCUCCAAAGGGCUCCUAUGUUAUCAGUGGGGUAGGGACACCACAACUGACCAUUUGACCCCCCCCUUCCCUUUUUUUUUUUUUUUUUUUUGAGAUGAAGUUUUGCUCUUUCACCCAAGCUAGAGUGAAAUGGCAUGAUCUCGGUUCACUGCAACCUCUGUCCCCGGGUUCAAACUUCCAUCAACUAGGCCAACUUCUUAUCAGUUUCUAUUCUUGUGGCCCAGUGGGAGGAUGGAACCAGGUGGGGAGACUUCUAUAGUUUCUGCCAAGAUCAAAUGUUGGAGAAAGCCUUUUGUAUGGCAGUUCGUGGGCUAAACUGGCCUGAGCAGCAUGGCAAGAGGUAGGUCAUAUUACAAGGCCUACAUGGAACAAGGCUGCACUCCUAAAAGGUCCAGUCACAUAGGUGCCAAUCACCUGGGAGACCUAGGGAAACAGGCAUCCCUCCC
rnacentral:lncRNA from 1 species